rnacentral:misc_RNA from 1 species
GAUGAAGAACGCAGCGAAAUGCGAUAAGUAAUGUGAAUUGCAGAAUUCAGUGAAUCAUCGAAUCUUUGAACGCACAUUGCGCCCCUUGGUAUUCCGAGGGGCAUGCCUAUUCGAGCGUCAUUUCACCACUCAAGCCUGGCUUGGUGUUGGGCGACGUCCUCUUUGGGGACGCGCCUCGAAACGCUCGGCGGCGUGGCACCGGCUUUAAGCGUAGCAGAAUCUUUCGCUUUGGAAGUCGGGGCCCCGUCUGCCGGAAGACCUGCUCGCAAGGUUGACCUCGGAUCAGGCAGGGAUACCCGCUGAACUUAAGCAUAUCAAUAAGCGGAGGA